GUCUGGCUGCGGCGUUGGUGACUGCCAAUAACGUUUUUUGAUCUAUGCUUGAAUUUUUUACGGGAACUCAUGUUGUUCUAGCGGCAGUAAACUGAACCAGUAUUCAGAAACUUUAUGCACGAACUUCCGGUACCCACCUGGUUUUAACCAGGUCAUAAACUGAGGUAAAACGGCGUUGCGGUUGACCU
rnacentral:other from 1 species